GGUAUUUUCAAACAUAUAGGGAAAGCAGAGAGUAUAAUAAACCCCCGUGUACCCCAAAACCCAGUCUGGGUAAUUAGCACCUCUAGCAACAGGCAGCUAAUCUUGUUUUAACUCUACCCCAGUUCACUUUAUCACCACCAGACUGAACUAGUUUAUAGCAAAACAAAAAAAAACAAAACAAAAAAACAAACAAAAAAAAGAAUUACCUUAAUACUAUUGUUACUCUUUAAAAAAUUCUUUAAUAAGUAUCCAGUAGUUGUUCAAAUUUCCUUGAUAGUAUCAUUUUUUUAAAUUGUUAGCUUGCCUGAAAAGUCUUUACAUUGCAUUUGUUGAUAUAUAUCUGUUAGGUCUCUUUUGAUCUAUAGACUCCUGUUCUUUUUUCUCCUUGUCUUUUAUUUAUUGAAGAAAUGGGUCAUUUGUCCUUAGAGCAGUGCUUCUCAAACUUGAAUGUGCAUGCAGAUCACUCCAGGGUCUUAUUAAAAUGCAGAUUCUGAUUCAAGAGGUCUGGGUGCGGCCCGAGACUGCAUUUCUGACCCCCUUCUUGGUGAUGCUGAUGUUGCAGGUCCGUGGACCACACUUUGAGUAGUAAGGCUGUAGUGUUGCGCAGAUUCUGGAUUUUGCCAACUGCAUCUCUGGGGUGUCUUUUAAACAUAGUCUAUCCCUUGUAUUUUCACUAAAUUGGUAUUUUUAGAUCUACAGGCUUGACUAGAUUUAGGGUUGGCUUUUUGGCAAGAUUACUUUAUUAGUGGGGCUGUAUAUUUCCUAUUGCAUCUCAUUAGGAAGCACAUAAUUUGGUUGUCUCUUUUUUGUGAUUUUUAGACUGAUCAGUGGAUUCAGGUGUUAUCAGCCUAUACCUUCUAUUAUACAGUUCUUGUCUUGACCCAUUAAUAUAGUCCCCUAAUGGUAGGAUACCCUAGCACCUUCCCUGUACCUUUCUUCUAAAUCUCUACAGAUGCUAUUUUCUCCAUAAAUUAUUUCUCGUAUAGUCUCUUAAAAGGAUCUCUCUCUCUUUUUCUUUCUUUUUUUUUUUUUUUUUUAAGACUGAGUCUCACUCUGUUGCCCAGGCUAGAGUGCAGUGGCGUGAUCUUGGCUCACUGCAACCUCCACCUCCCAGGUUCAAGUGAUUCUCCUGCCUCAGCCUCCCAAGUAGCUGGGACUACAGGCACGUGCCACCAUGCCCGGCUAUUUUUGUAUUUUUAGCAGAGAUGGGGUUUCACCUUGUUGGCCAGGCUGGUCUUGAACUACUGACCUCAAGUGAUCUGCCUGCCUUGGCUUCCCAAAGUGCUGGGAUUACUGGCGUGAGGCACCAUGCCCAGCCCCUCUUCUCCAAUUGUAACCCACCCACCUUGAUCCUUGAUUCCAUCCUCGCUGGCUCUGAUUGCAUCUCCAGCAUUUUCUUUUCAUUUACCUGCAAGUAUGUUAAAUGUCCACUAUUCCAAAGAAAUUGCUGUCUACCAGAUCUACUGGCCCAUCCUUCUCCCCUUUCCUUUCAAAUUUCUCCAAACAGACCAGAUUAGCCUCCUCAUCUCCUUAAUCCCAUUCGGAUUGGAUCCUAGCCCAUUACCUCUGAAACUGCUUUGUUGAAGGUCACAGACGUGAUCAUCUCUUUUUAGACUGUCUCAUCUUUGGCCUCUCUGCAACAUUUCAUCUUCUCUUCUUUUUAAAACUCUCUAUUUUCCAUGGAAUUGUUCUGUUUUGGUUCUCUUCAUUCUCUACUUUGAUUUGACUGAAUAAUAUGGCACUGUUCUUCAUUAAUUUAUUUCUAAAGCUCUUUUUUGCAUUGUCUCUUUGUACCACUUUAAUUGACAAGUAGUAUUUUAAAAGGUAGUUUUCAGUUCCAAAGUGUACUAUUAAUCUCUUUCAGCUAGCAUCAAAUGAAAACUAUCAGAAUAAAAUAUUUCUGGAAAGCAGACUGUACUAAAUGAUCUAAUAAAAAGAAAGUUUAGUUAAACAGUCUAACAUAAUGCUGUAAAAAACCAAAGCCAAAAGAUCAUGAAACAAGAUCAGCAUGAGAUUCAGGAAACCUCGUGACUGGUCUCAGACCAAGCGCAUUUCUCCCCUUUUUCCAAUCUGUUUCUUCUUCAGCAAAUUGUGAGUGUUGAACUAGAAGAUUUCAAGUUCUAAACUUCAAUUAGCUUGCUCCCUGAAAACCAGCUCCUCUUCCUGACUCCACAAUUUCUGUUAAUGCCAAUGACACCAUUAUGCUCCCAACAUUACAGGCUGAGCUUUGAACUGUCAGUUGGCUGAGACUAGUUCUUGUCCCUUCCUUCUGUCCACUGUUCUUCUGCAACAUCUGUCACAUCCAGACCUUUUCUAUGUCCAUUGUCCCUGCUGCCAUCACCAAAAUUCCUGGAUUCUGACUUCUGUUCCAUACAUCUCACCUGGGCCAUUGCAAUACCUCUCCAAGGCUUCCUUAACCCCAUGUCCAUCUGUUGGUCCUCCCACCUAUCUUGCCUAUCCUUGCCCUAUUGAUCUUCCUAAAGCACAACUCUGAUAAAAUUGCUUCUCUUCUCAAAAACUUUCCAUGUGACGGGUGCGGUGGCUCACACCUGUAAUCCCAGCUCUUUGGGAGGCCGAGGCAGGCAGAUCAUGAGGUCAGGAGAUCGAGACCAUCCUGGCUAACAUGGUGAAACCCCAUCUCUACUAAAAAUACAAACCAUUAGCUGGGCGUGGUGGCGGGCGCCUGUAGUCCCAGCUACUCGGGAGGCUGAGGCAGGAGAAUGGCAUGAACCCGGGAGGCGGAGCUUGCAGUGAGCCGAGAUGGCACCACUGCACCCCAGCCUGGGUGACAGAGCGAGACUCCGUCUCAAAGAAAAAAACUUUCCAUGGUUUCUAAUUGCCCAUGGAACUGAAUUGAGAUUAACUGAGGUACUACUGUGUUCUUACACUAUACAUUAUAAAAUAUUUGCAAAACUAAAUUGGCAAGUGGAAAUUAGAUGAAUGUAAAUAGAAGGCCUAAUAUGCAGUGUUCUACAGUCCAGUGGACCAUCCUGUGUACUCUCCUAGACCUUUGGUAUUCAUAGCCUCCAAUAAUCCCCUCCAACCUAGAUUUGUAGUUACUUCAAGCUCUGAGAUGAUUCUCAUAUUCUCUCCUAUUAUUCCCCAUGUGCGUGUAUGCACUCUGUCCAUGCUGACCUCUGUGUUCUUUCCUGAGCAACCCUCCAUGCACUCUACCCUGCAUGAACUGCUUCCAUCUCUACAUGUUCAAGUUCCAGUCAUGCUUUAAGGCCCAACCCGGAUUCCACUUUUUCCAGAAAGCCUUAUGAUCGUCUGUCCCUGAAUUUCCCUACUUGGCACCUUGGUUCCUGCCUUGUGACACUCAUAUGUGCUGCUCUGCAUUGAUAUAUAGUUGUUUGUGACAGACCUUGGUUCCUCUACUCAAUCCAGAGCUCCUGGAAGUAGUGAGAAUGUCUCCUUUCAUCUUUGAAUCCCCCACACCACCUACCACAGGGUUCUUCAUAGGUAUUUGAAUGGAUGAUGUGUCCUAAUCAGUGCACCUGAGGAAUAGCCUGGUGCCUGGUCCCUGGAUGUCAUCAACUACUAUGGGAUCCAUUCAGUCUAUGUAUAGAUUGAAUGGAUAUAUGUAUCUCCACUCACAAUUUGCUGAAGAAGACACAGAUUGGAAAAAGGGGGGAAAUGUGCUAUAUAUAUAUAUAUAUAUAUAUAUAUAUAUAUACAUAUGUAUAUAUAUAUACCCA
rnacentral:lncRNA from 1 species